UGAGCAAUCUGCCCUUCUCAUCGGAAUAAGCGGUGGAAACGACGUCUAAUGCCGAAUACGACCUCCUUUCGCAUGAUCGGAGGUGGAAAGCUCCGGCGGAGAAGGAUGAGCUCGCGGCCUAUCAGCUAGUUGGUGUGGGUAAUGGCCCACCAAGGCGACGACGGGUAGCCGGCCUGAGAGGGUGACCGGCCACACUGGGACUGAGACACGGCCCAGACUCCUACGGGAGCAG
rnacentral:rRNA from 1 species